GACGAACCGAGCGAACGUUGUCCGGAAUCAUUGGGCGUAAAGCGCGUGUAGGCGGCCCGGUAAGUCCGCUGUGAAAGUCGGGGGCUCAACCCUCGGAUGCCGGUGGAUACUGUCGGGCUAGAGUGCGGAAGAGGCGAGUGGAAUUCCUGGUGUAGCGGUGAAAUGCGCAGAUAUCAGGAGGAACACCAAUUGCGAAGGCAGCUCGCUGGGACGUUACUGACGCUGAGACGCGAAAGCGUGGGGAGCAAACAGG
rnacentral:rRNA from 1 species